UACGUAGGUGGCUAGCGUUGUCCGGAUUUACUGGGCGUAAAGAGCGCGCAGGCGGUCGUUCAAGUCGAGUGUGAAAGCCCCCGGCUCAACUGGGGAGGGUCACUCGAUACUGAUCGACUCGAAGGCAGGAGAGGGAAGCGGGAAUUCCCGGUGUAGUGGUGAAAUGCGUAGAUAUCGGGAGGAACACCAGUGGCGAAGGCGGCUUUCUGGCCUGCUCUGACGCUGAGGCGCGAAAGCUAGGGUAGCAAACGGG
rnacentral:rRNA from 1 species